AUCGUCUACUGUGACAACGUCUCCGCUGUCUACCUCUCCGCCAACCCCGUCCACCAUCGCCGUACGAAGCAUAUUGAGCUCGACAUUCACUUCGUUCGCGAGCAGGUGGCUCUCGGGAAGGUUCGUGUUCUGCACGUUCCUACCACUCAGCAGUUUGCCGAUGUCAUGACUAAGGGACUAGCGACCCCAGUCUUCGAGGAGUUUCGGUCCAGUCUCUGUGUCUCCGGCGACGCUUCAACUGCGGGGGGUGUUGAGCGUACACUGCAUAUGUAUAGGACUAGGGUCUGUAUUUAUACCGUUGUAUCUCUCUCUCCCCCAUAUAUUUGUACAUCUUGA
rnacentral:rRNA from 1 species